GCACCCAUCGUCUAGAGGUUAGGACACAGGGUUUUCAUCCCUGCAACCGGGGUUCAAUUCCCCGUGGGUGUA
rnacentral:tRNA from 1 species